rnacentral:ncRNA from 1 species
UUACUUAAAUUUAGCAGUAAUUUAUGUAGGUUAUGUAGGUGAGUUUGUGAUAUAUUGAACCUAGUGAGCACUUUUGGUAAACAAAAAUGGCACUGAGUGAUGAACCUAACGCAAUGAUUCGUGGCCAAAAUUUGCAAAUUCAUACAGAUACUAUGCUUGCUUAAGGCGGCAGGACGGUAGAUAUGGAAGUCAUAAUCUGCUAAGAAGUGUGUAACAGCUCACCUGCUUAGGCAACUAGCACUCAAAAUGGAUGCUAAAGCUUUUCUAAUCUGCUUCGCUUCAAAAUAAGAUUGGCUUGGCCGAG